rnacentral:rRNA from 1 species
AAAUCUGGUUGAUCCUGCCAGAGGCGACCGCUUUUGGAGUUCGAUUAAGCCAUGCGAGUCGAGAGCCUUAGGGGCUCGGCAUACUGCUCAGUAACACGUGGAUAACCUGCCCUAUUGUCUGGAAUAACCUCGGGAAACUGAGAACAANGCCGGAUANCCCACAAUGCCUGGAACGGUUUGUGGGUGAAGAUAGGAUGGGUCUGCGGCGUAUCAGGUCGUAGGGGGUGUAAUGGACCUCCUAGCCAUCGACGCGUACGGGUGUUGGGAGACAUAGCCCGGAGAUGGAUUCUGAGACACGAAUCCAGACCCUACGGGGUGCAGCAGGCGCGA